GAUGUGAUGGCUGAGGGGUGAAGUUUUGUAUUUGAAAUCCAAUAGGAUUUCCCUGGUCAGGGUCAAAUCCUGCUCACAGCA
rnacentral:tRNA from 1 species